UGGGGAAUUUUGGACAAUGGGGGCAACCCUGAUCCAGCAAUGCCGCGUGUGUGAAGAAGGCCUUCGGGUUGUAAAGCACUUUUGUCCGGAAAGAAAUCGCGCUGGCUAAUACCUGGCGUGGAUGACGGUACCGGAAGAAUAAGCACCGGCUAACUACGUGCCAGCAGCCGCGGUAAUACGUAGGGUGCGAGCGUUAAUCGGAAUUACUGGGCGUAAAGCGUGCGCAGGCGGUUUUGUAAGACAGGCGUGAAAUCCCCGGGCUUAACCUGGGAAUGGCGCUUGUGACUGCAAGGCUAGAGUGCGUCAGAGGGGGGUAGAAUUCCACGUGUAGCAGUGAAAUGCGUAGAGAUGUGGAGGAAUACCGAUGGCGAAGGCAGCCCCCUGGGACGAGACUGACGCUCAUGCACGAAAGCGUGGGGAGCAAACAGG
rnacentral:rRNA from 1 species